rnacentral:misc_RNA from 1 species
GCACCAGAGGAGGAAGGUCAAACUUUUAUCCAUGCUUGAUGAGGUGGAUAGAAGAUAUAACCAUUACUGUGAACAAAUGCAAAUGGUUGUGAAUUCAUUUGAUCUGGUAAUGGGAUUUGGGGCAGCAGUUCCUUACACUGCGCUUGCCCAGAAGGCCAUGUCAAGGCAUUUUCGAUGUCUAAAGGAUGCAAUUGCAGCACAAUUGAAGCAUAGUUGUGAACUACUUGGGGAGAAAGAUGGAGCAGGGACCUCAGGCAUAACAAAAGGAGAGACUCCAAGGCU